UGGCUCAGGAUGAACGCUGGCGGCGUGCUUAACACAUGCAAGUCGAACGGGCUCAUAUUGAAACCUAGUGAUGUAUGAGUUAGUGGCGGACGGGUGAGUAACGCGUGGAGAACCUGCCGUAUACUGGGGGAUAACACUUAGAAAUAGGUGCUAAUACCGCAUAAGCGCACAGCUUCGCAUGAAGCAGUGUGAAAAACUCCGGUGGUAUACGAUGGAUCCGCGUCUGAUUAGCUGGUUGGCGGGGUAACAGCCCACCAAGGCGACGAUCAGUAGCCGGCCUGAGAGGGUGAACGGCCACAUUGGGACUGAGACACGGCCCAAACUCCUACGGGAGGCAGCAGUGGGGAAUAUUGCACAAUGGGGGAAACCCUGAUGCAGCGACGCCGCGUGAGUGAAGAAGUAUUUCGGUAUGUAAAGCUCUAUCAGCAGGGAAGAAAUACUGACCUUACGGUCAGCAGACGGUACCUGACUAAGAAGCCCCGGCUAACUACGUG
rnacentral:rRNA from 1 species